rnacentral:rRNA from 1 species
CAGCUAGUUGGUGAGGUAAUGGCUCACCAAGGCUACGACGGGUAGCUGGUCUGAGAGGAUGACCAGCCACAUUGGGACUGAGAAACGGCCCAGACUCCUACGGGAGGCAGCAGUGGGGAAUCUUGCGCAAUGGCCUAACGGCUGACGCAGCGACGCCGCGUGAGGGAUGACGCUCUUCGGAGUGUAAACCUCUUUUGCCCGGAACGAAUUGCCACCAUCAGGUGGCUUGACGGUACCGGUUGAAUAAGCACCGGCUAACUCCGUGCCAGCAGCCGCGGUAAUACGGGGGGUGCGAGCGUUGUCCGGAAUCACUGGGCGUAAAGGGCGCGUAGGUGGCGUGAUAAGGGUGUGGUGAAAGCCCGGGGCUCAACCCCGGGUCUGCCAUGCCGACUGUCAGGCUCGAGUACUGUAGGGGCAGGCGGAAUUCCGGGUGUAGCGGUGGAAUGCGUAGAGAUCCGGAGGAAGACCGGUGGCGAAGGCGGCCUGCUGGGCAGUUACUGACACUGAGUGCGCGACAGCGUGGGGAGCAAACAGGAUUAGAUACCCUGGUAGUCCACGCCGUAAACGAUGGGU